CCGAAAAACGGCAUUGGCUGCGCCGCGUAGUAAUACAUUGCAUGUGCUACAUGAAAAAAUAGUGGUUUUAAAAUAUUGUUUUAAAGUGUAGAAAUUGGAAAUAAUAUUAAUAUAAGUAAUAAGGAAUCAUUCUUUGAAUAUUAUGAGGUGAUAAUUUGGUCGGAAUGUGGUCAAAUCUAUCAUAAAGCCCUUUAGGCGUUGUUGGAUUUGACCUUAUUUGAUUCCUUAUUUCUUAAAUAAAACCAUAUGUAUUAUACACAUAUAUAAUCACAUUCAUUUAGACGGUGUGUUUUCUUGACUGAUGGUAUUUGCAACCAUUAGUGGCAGCUGUCUUAAGUUUCUUUUCAUAAAGUUUAUUUUCUAUAUAUUUACAUGUAUACAAUUCCUAUUACAUAUCAUAAAUAAAAUAUAUUUCUUUAACUCAG
rnacentral:sRNA from 1 species